AGAAUGUCUGCUUUCCUACCAGGAAGAGUGGCUUGGCCCUCUGCUGAGGCUCUCAGAGGUUCUCCCAGCCUUGGGAUCGCUGAGUAAAACCAGUCAGCACCAUGUCACCCUAUGGAGACUGGCCUCCAUCCCUGGGAUUUGCUGGUAGAAGAAAGGGAAUCAGCGCUGACUGAGCUCCUACUAUGUGCCCUUCCUGGGCCUGGCACUGGAAUCACAGGAUGAAUGAAUAAGGCAUAUUUCCUGCCCUGAGGAGGCGUCUAUAGGGGAAGUCGGAAUUAAGGCACCUCCAGAAUUCUGAGGUCAAGGGAAUGUCAACAGAGCUGUGAACAAAAUGCCCAAAGCCAUGAAAAUCUACAGAGAGAGACUCGAAGGGGAGGAAUGGGGUAGGAGCUGGUGCCGAGGAUGAGAGGGGAGAAUUCACCUGGUGGAGAACUGAUAGGUGGGGGCUGUUUUCAAAGUAUUUUCACAAACGUUUGCCAGGCUGAGGUCGGGAUGGUGGAGGAGGUGGUGGAGGUGAUGAGGUACCAGAGCAACCUCGAAGAAAGCUGAGAGGCAGGAGACCGCCAAAGGCAAACUUGGAACACCUGGUGACUCCGACUAACUCUCCAUGUGGUGUCCUUGAGGACUUUUAUGAUACUGCUACCACUGCUAAUAGUAAUAAAAGCCACUAUUUAAUGUGUUUACUAUGCGCUGGGUGUGCAAAUAUUGUGGAAAGAGUGAACAUAUGUGCAGAAUGCUUAAUAAACGUGAUCUCCUUUUAUCUUCAAAAGAACAAUACAGGCCAGGUGCGGUGGCUCAUGCCUAUAAUUCCAGCACUUUGGGAGGCCGAGGCAGAUGGAUUGCUUGAGCUCAAGAAGUUUCAGACCAGCCUGGGCAACAUGGCAAAACCCCAUCUCUACAAAAAAAUACCCAAAAAAUUAGCCAGGUGUGAUGUUGCCUGCCUGUGGUCCCAGCUACUCCAGAGGUUGAGGUGGGAGAAUCGCGUGAGCCCAGAAGGUCAAGGCUGCAGUGAGCUGUGAUCCUGCCACUGCACUCCAGCCUGGGGUGACAGAGUGAGACCCUGCCUAAAAAAAAAAGAAUCAAUACGAUUAAUACUUUUACUUCUAUUUUUCAGACAAGGAAAUUGAGGCUCAGAGAGGUUAGGAACUUGCCAGAAGACCUACCAGCAAGUGGCAGAGCUAAGGUCCCAUCUGACCCCAAAGCCCACCCAUAACCGCUAUGCAGUACUGUCCAGGCAGAAACACAAACAUUACCCCAUUGUUUUUAUUCUUCAACACCUUUGGUAUCAUCCAGUCCCAGGACACUGGCUCCUGAGGAAGGAAGGCCCCUCCCACAUCCUUUAAAAUUCCCAGGCAUAAAACCAUGUUCACCAGCCACCGUGAGGGUAAGCCUCAGAGACAGGGACCGUGCCCAC
rnacentral:lncRNA from 1 species